rnacentral:rRNA from 1 species
UACGUAGGGUGCGAGCGUUAAUCGGAAUUACUGGGCGUAAAGCGUGCGCAGGCGGUGAUGUAAGACAGGUGUGAAAUCCCCGGGCUUAACCUGGGAACUGCAUUUGUGACUGCAUCGCUGGAGUGCGGCAGAGGGGGAUGGAAUUCCGCGUGUAGCAGUGAAAUGCGUAGAGAUGUGGAGGAACACCGGUGGCGAAGGCGGCGACCUGGUCCGAUACUGACGCUGAGGCGCGAAAGCGUGGGGAGCAAACAGG